rnacentral:rRNA from 1 species
CCUACGGGAGUCAGCAGUGAGGAAUAUUGGUCAAUGGACGCAAGUCUGAACCAGCCAUGCCGCGUGCAGGAAGACGGCUCUAUGAGUUGUAAACUGCUUUUGUACGAGGGUAAACGCAGAUACACGUAUCUGUCUGCAAGUAUCGUACGAAUAAGGAUCGGCUAACUCCGUGCCAGCAGCCGCGGUAAUACGGAGGAUUCAAGCGUUAUCCGGAUUUAUUGGGUUUAAUGGGUGCGUAGGCGGUCGGAUAAGUUAGAGGUGAAAUCCCGAGGCUCAACUUCGGAAUUGCCUCUGAUACUGUUCGGCUAGAGAGUAGUUGCGGUAGGCGGAAUGUAUGGUGUAGCGGUGAAAUGCUUAGAGAUCAUACAGAACACCGAUUGCGAAGGCAGCUUACCAAGCUACUUCUGACGUUGAGGCACGAAAGCGUGGGGAGCAAACAGGAUUAGAUACCCCUGUAGUC